AAGCCAAUGAUGAUUAAAGUUGUUUUGUUGGAAUUACCGACUGAAUCUUCGUUGAUGUCAAACACAAACUGGCUAUCUGAGGCUUCUA